rnacentral:rRNA from 1 species
UACAGAGGUCUCAAGCGUUGUUCGGAUUCAUUGGGCGUAAAGGGUGCGUAGGUGGCGCGCUAAGUCAGGUGUGAAAUUUCGGAGCUCAACUCCGAAACUGCAUUUGAUACUGGCGUGCUUGAGGACUGGAGAGGAGACUGGAAUUUACGGUGUAGCAGUGAAAUGCGUAGAGAUCGUAAGGAAGACCAGUGGCGAAGGCGGGUCUCUGGACAGUUCCUGACCACUGAGGCAACGAAGGCCAGGGGAGCAAACGGG